rnacentral:rRNA from 1 species
UACAGAGGGGGCAAGCGUUGUUCGGAAUUACUGGGCGUAAAGGGCGCGUAGGCGGCCUUCUAAGUCGAACGUGAAAUCCCCGGGCUCAACCCGGGAACUGCGUCCGAUACUGGAGGGCUUGAAUCCGGGAGAGGGAUGUGGAAUUCCAGGUGUAGCGGUGAAAUGCGUAGAUAUCUGGAGGAACACCGGUGGCGAAGGCGGCAUCCUGGACCCGGCAUUGACGCUGAGGUGCGAAAGCGUGGGGAGCAACGGG